AUGAACGCUGGCGGCGUGCCUAAUACAUGCAAGUCGAGCGAACAGACGAGGAGCUUGCUCCUCUGACGUUAGCGGCGGACGGGUGAGUAACACGUGGAUAACCUACCUAUAAGACUGGGAUAACUUCGGGAAACCGGAGCUAAUACCGGAUAAUAUAUUGAACCGCAUGGUUCAAUAGUGAAAGACGGUUUUGCUGUCACUUAUAGAUGGAUCCGCGCCGCAUUAGCUAGUUGGUAAGGUAACGGCUUACCAAGGCAACGAUGCGUAGCCGACCUGAGAGGGUGAUCGGCCACACUGGAACUGAGACACGGUCCAGACUCCUACGGGAGGCAGCAGUAGGGAAUCUUCCGCAAUGGGCGAAAGCCUGACGGAGCAACGCCGCGUGAGUGAUGAAGGUCUUCGGAUCGUAAGACUCUGUUAUUAGGGAAGAACAAAUGUGUAAGUAACUAUGCACGUCUUGACGGUACCUAAUCAGAAAGCCACGGCUAACUACGUG
rnacentral:rRNA from 1 species